rnacentral:rRNA from 1 species
AAUUCGCCCUUAGAGUUUGAUCAUGGCUCAGAUUGAACGCUGGCGGCAUGCCUUACACAUGCAAGUCGAACGGUAACGCGGGGCAACCUGGCGACGAGUGGCGAACGGGUGAGUAAUAUAUCGGAACGUGCCCAGUCGUGGGGGAUAACUGCUCGAAAGAGCAGCUAAUACCGCAUACGACCUGAGGGUGAAAGCGGGGGAUCUUCGGACCUCGCGCGAUUGGAGCGGCCGAUAUCAGAUUAGGUAGUUGGUGGGGUAAAGGCCUACCAAGCCGACGAUCUGUAGCUGGUCUGAGAGGACGACCAGCCACACUGGGACUGAGACACGGCCCAGACUCCUACGGGAGGCAGCAGUGGGGAAUUUUGGACAAUGGGGGCAACCCUGAUCCAGCCAUGCCGCGUGCGGGAAGAAGGCCUUCGGGUUGUAAACCGCUUUUGUCAGGGAAGAAAUCCUUUGGGCUA